GUGGGGAAUCUUGCGCAAUGGGCGAAAGCCUGACGCAGCCAUGCCGCGUGGAUGAUGAAGGUCUUAGGAUUGUAAAAUCCUUUCACCGGUGAAGAUAAUGACUGUAGCCGGAGAAGAAGCCCCGGCUAACUUCGUGCCAGCAGCCGCGGUAAUACGAAGGGGGCUAGCGUUGCUCGGAUUUACUGGGCGUAAAGGGCGCGUAGGCGGACAUUUAAGUCAGGGGUGAAAUCCCGGGGCUCAACCUCGGAACUGCCUUUGAUACUGGGUGUCUUGAGUAUGAGAGAGGUGUGUGGAACUCCGGGUGUAGAGGUGAAAUUCGUAGAUAUUCGGAAGAACACCAGUGGCGAAGGCGACACACUGGCUCAUUACUGACGCUGAGGCGCGAAAGCGUGGGGAGCAAACAGGAUUAGAUACCCGAGUAGUCC
rnacentral:rRNA from 1 species